rnacentral:rRNA from 1 species
CCUACGGGUGGCAGCAGUGAGGAAUAUUGGUCAAUGGGCGCAAGCCUGAACCAGCCAAGUCGCGUGAGGGAAGACGGCCCUACGGGUUGUAAACCUCUUUUGCCGGGGAGCAAGCCUGAGCCCGUGUGCCCAGGCGGAGAGUACCCGGAGUAAAAGCAUCGGCUAACUCCGUACCAGGAGCCGCGGUAAUACGGAGGAUGCGAGCGUUAUCCGGAUUUAUUGUGUUUAAGGGGUGCGCAGGCGGGCUGUCAAGCCGGCGGUAAAAAUUCAGGGCUCAACGCUGUCGGGCCGUCGGAACUGGCAGUCUUGAGUGGGCGAGAAGUAUGCGGAAUGCGUGGUGUGGCGGUGAAAUGCAAAGAUAUCACGCAGAACGCCGAUUGGGAAGGCAGCAUACCGGCGCCCAACUGACGCUGAGGCACGAAAGCGUGGGGAUCGAACAGGAUUAGAUACCCCUGGUAGUC